GCAUUGUUGGCCCGACGGUAGAGUGCUCGCCAACAAUGCGGGCGACCUAGGCUCAAUUCGUAGCCAAUGCU